rnacentral:rRNA from 1 species
UUUUAUGGAGAGUUUGAUCCUGGCUCAGGAUGAACGCUGGCGGCGUGCCUAAUACAUGCAAGUCGAGCGAACAGAUAAGGAGCUUGCUCCUUUGACGUUAGCGGCGGACGGGUGAGUAACACGUGGGUAACCUACCUAUAAGACUGGAAUAACUCCGGGAAACCGGGGCUAAUGCCGGAUAACAUUUAGAACCGCAUGGUUCUAAAGUGAAAGAUGGUUUUGCUAUCACUUAUAGAUGGACCCGCGCCGUAUUAGCUAGUUGGUAAGGUAACGGCUUACCAAGGCAACGAUACGUAGCCGACCUGAGAGGGUGAUCGGCCACACUGGAACUGAGACACGGUCCAGACUCCUACGGGAGGCAGCAGUAGGGAAUCUUCCGCAAUGGGCGAAAGCCUGACGGAGCAACGCCGCGUGAGUGAUGAAGGUCUUCGGAUCGUAAAACUCUGUUAUUAGGGAAGAACAAAUGUGUAAGUAACUGUGCACGUCUUGACGGUACCUAAUCAGAAAGCCACGGCUAACUACGUGCCAGCAGCCGCGGUAAUACGUAGGUGGCAAGCGUUAUCCGGAAUUAUUGGGCGUAAAGCGCGCGUAGGCGGUUUCUUAAGUCUGAUGUGAAAGCCCACGGCUCAACCGUGGAGGGUCAUUGGAAACUGGGAAACUUGAGUGCAGAAGAGGAAAGUGGAAUUCCAUGUGUAGCGGUGAAAUGCGCAGAGAU